AGAAGAUGGUAAGGGCACACGGUGGAUGCCUAGGCACGGAAAGCCGAUGAAGGACGUGACAAGCUGCGAUAAGCUGCGGUGAGAGGCACAUGCUCGCUGACCCGCAGAUAUCCGAAUGGGCAAACCCGCCAGAACUCAUUUUCUGGCACGCCUUAGAAGAACACAUAUUCUUAGGCGAGGCAACCCGGAGAACUGAAACAUCUCAGUAGCCGGAGGAAGAGAAAUCAACCGAGAUUCCCCAAGUAGUGGCGAGCGAACGGGGAUGAGGCCAAACCGUCUGUAGGGAAACCGCAGACGGGGUUGUAGGGCAGGCAAUAAAGUGCAGCGCUUGCGGAAGCAGAACAGCAUGAAAAGGCUGACUGAAAAGGGUUAGAGUCCCGUACGCGAAUCCAACACAGAGCGCAUGAGCCUGCUCCUGAGUACUGCCGGACACGUGAAACCCGGUGGGAAGCAGGGGGGACCACCCUCCAAGCCUAAAUACUCUUCCGUGACCGAUAGUGGACAAGUACCGUGAGGGAAAGGUGAAAAGCACCCCGGGAGGGGAGUGAAAUAGUACCUGAAACCGUGUGCUUACAAGCAGUCGGAGCGCUUACCUUGCGUAAGUGUGACGGCGUGCCUUUUGUAGAAUGAGCCAGCGAGUUACGGUGUGUGGCAAGGUCAAAGUCAAGAACUGAGCCGAAGCGAAAGCGAGUCUGAAUAGGGCGAUUGAGUCGCAUGCUGUAGACGCGAAGCCAGGUGAGCUAUCCUGGGGCAGGCUGAAGCGGGGGUAAGACCCCGUGGAGGGCCGAACCCACUUAGAUUGAAAACUGAGGGGAUGACCUCAGGAUAGGAGUGAAAGGCUAAACAAACCUGGAGAUAUCUCGUUCUCCCCGAAAUAGCUUUAGGGCUAGCCUCAGGCGUUCAACACUGGAGGUAGAGCACUGAAUGGUAGAGGGGGCCUCACCGCCUGCCGACACCAAUCAAACUCCGAAUGCCAGCGUUUCAGAGCCUGGGAGUCAGAAUAUGUGGGCUAAGCCGUGUAUUCGAAAGGGAAACAGCCCAGACCAUCCGCUAAGGUCCCUAAAUUCAUGCUAAGUGGCAAAGGAUGUGCGUUUGCUCAGACAACCAGGAUGUUGGCUCAGAAGCAGCCAUUCAUUUAAAGAGUGCGUAAUAGCUCACUGGUCGAGUGGACAUGCGCCGACAAUAUACGGGGCUAAGCAUGGUACCGAAGCGACGGAUUGUAUCUUUAUAGAUACUUUGGUAGGGGAGCUUUCUUGUAUGGGGUGAAGCGCAAGGAUAACCUUGCGUGGACUUGCAAGAAGUGAGAAUGCUGGCAUGAGUAACGAGAAAGGCGUGAGAAACGCCUGCGCCGUAAACCUAAGGUUUCCUGGGCAAGGCUAAUCCUCCCAGGGUCAGUCGGGAGCUAAGGCAAGGCCGGAAGGCGUAGUCGAUGCACAGCAGGUAGAUAUUCCUGCACCUCCAACGUAUCGUUUUUACCAAUGGGGUGACAAAGCAGGGUAGCUCAAGCGGGGUUCUGGACGUCCCCGUGGAGCCACGUAGGUAGGCGGGUCAGUGAAAUGCGGCCUGCCGCUAUAAACUGAGGUGGCGCCCGAAACGAUUGAGCGAAGUGAGCAAGCCCAUACUUUCGAGAAAAACCUCUCGGGAGAUACUCGGAGCCCGUACCAAAACCGACACAGGUGGGUGGGUAGAAUAUACCAAGGCGAUCGGGAGAACCAUGGUUAAGGAACUCGGCAAAAUAACCCCGUAACUUCGGAAGAAGGGGUGCCACAGCGUGUGAGUGCACGUGCUGCACAAGCUGGAUGUGGCCGCAGUGAAAAGGUCCAAACGACUGUUUAUCAAAAACACAGGACUCUGCUGAAGUCGUAAGACGACGUAUAGGGUCUGACGCCUGCCCGGUGCCGGAAGGUCACGAGGAGCUGUCAGCGCAAGCAAAGCAGCGAAUCUAAGCCCCGGUAAACGGCGGCCGUAACUAUAACGGUCCUAAGGUAGCGAAAUUCCUUGUCGGGUAAGUUCCGACCUGCACGAAAGGCGUAACGAUUUGGACGCUGUCUCAACCA
rnacentral:rRNA from 1 species